GUGCUCACUGCGGCAGCACGUGUAGCAAAAUUGGAAUGAUACGGAGAAGGUUAGCAUGGCCUCCUGAGCAAGGAUGAUAGGCAAAUUCGUGAAGCAAUAUUUAA
ensembl:snRNA U6 U6 spliceosomal RNA